AUCAAAAGCACCCUGGUCAAGCUGCAACUUUUGUUGAUCAUAUAAGGAGGGGGGUUGAAAUUGCAGCAGAUGACGAUGAUGCAUUACUCCUGUUUAGUGGUGGUGAGACUAGGAAAGAUGCCGGGCCAAGAAGUGAAGCUCAAAGUUACUGGACUGUUGCUGAAACUAAAGGGUGGUUUGGCAAACAAGAAAGUGUAAGAGGGAGGGCACUCACCGAAGAGCAUGCUAGAGACAGUUUUGAGAAUCUUCUCUUUAGU
rnacentral:misc_RNA from 1 species